UACGUAGGGGGCAAGCGUUGUCCGGAAUCAUUGGGCGUAAAGAGCGUGUAGGCGGCCCGGUAAGUCCGCUGUGAAAGUCCCGGGCUCAACCCUGGAAUGCCGGUGGAAACUGUCGGGCUAGAGUCCGGAAGAGGCGAGUGGAAUUCCUGGUGUAGCGGUGAAAUGCGCAGAUAUCAGGAGGAACACCGAUGGCGAAGGCAGCUCGCUGGGAUGGUACUGACGCUGAGGCGCGAAAGCGUGGGGAGCAAACAGG
rnacentral:rRNA from 1 species